rnacentral:rRNA from 1 species
UACGAAGGGGGCUAGCGUUGCUCGGAAUCACUGGGCGUAAAGGGUGCGUAGGCGGGUUUUUAAGUCAGAGGUGAAAUCCUGGAGCUCAACUCCAGAACUGCCUUUGAUACUGAGAAGCUUGAGUCCGGGAGAGGUGAGUGGAACUGCGAGUGUAGAGGUGAAAUUCGUAGAUAUUCGCAAGAACACCAGUGGCGAAGGCGGCUCACUGGCCCGGUACUGACGCUGAGAUGCGAAAGCGUGGGGAGCAAACAGG